ensembl:misc_RNA Y_RNA Y RNA
GGCUGGUCUGAGUACAGUGGCGUUUACAACCAACUGACCACAACCAGUUAUGAAUUUCUUCAUUCCUUUUCCACUCACACUGCUUCACUUGACCAGCUUUAA